rnacentral:rRNA from 1 species
CCUACGGGUGGCAGCAGUGAGGAAUAUUGGUCAAUGGGCGCGAGCCUGAACCAGCCAAGUCGCGUGAGGGAGGACGGCCCUACGGGUUGUAAACCUCUUUUGCCGGGGAGUAACGGGCGUCACGUGUGGCGCUACUGAGAGUACCCGGGGAAAAAGCACCGGCUAACUCCGUGCCAGCAGCCGCGGUAAUACGGAGGAUGCGAGCGUUAUCCGGAUUUAUUGGGUUUAAAGGGAGCGUAGGUGGAUUGUUAAGUCAGUUGUGAAAGUUUGCGGCUCAACCGUAAAAUUGCAGUUGAAACUGGCAGUCUUGAGUACAGUAGAGGUAGGCGGAAUUCGUGGUGUAGCGGUGAAAUGCUUAGAUAUCACGAAGAACUCCGAUUGCGAAGGCAGCUCACUGGACUGCAACUGACACUGAGGCUCGAAAGUGUGGGUAUCAAACAGGAUUAGAUACCCCGGUAGUC